rnacentral:misc_RNA from 1 species
AUAAGCGGAGGAAAAGAAACCAACAGGGAUUGCCUCAGUAACGGCGAGUGAAGCGGCAAGAGCUCAAAUUUGAAAUCCGGCCCCCCUGGGGGCCUGAGUUGUAAUUUGCAGAGGAUGCUUCGGGCGCGACCGCGGUCCAAGUCCCCUGGAACGGGGCGUCGUAGAGGGUGAGAAUCCCGUCUCCGGCCGGCCGGUCUCGCCCGUGUGAAGCUCCUUCGACGAGUCGAGUUGUUUGGGAAUGCAGCUCCAAAUGGGUGGUAAAUUUCAUCUAAAGCUAAAUACUGGUCGGAGACCGAUAGCGCACAAGUAGAGUGAUCGAAAGAUGAAAAGCACUUUGAAAAGAGAGUUAAACAGCAUGUGAAAUUGUUGAAAGGGAAGCGCUUGCGACCAGAGUCGGCCGCGGGGGUUCAGCGGGCAUUCGUUGCCCGUGCAAUCCCCCGCGGCCGGGCCAGCGUCGGUUUCGACGGCCGGUCAAAGGCCCCCGGAAUGUGUCGCCUCUCGGGGCGUCUUAUAGCCGGGGGUGCAAUGCGGCCAGUCGGGACCGAGGAACGCGCUCCGGCACGGACGCUGGCUUAAUGGUCGUCAGCGACCCGUCUUGAA